UACGGGGGGUGCAAGCGUUGUUCGGAAUUAUUGGGCGUAAAGCGCGUGUAGGCGGUCUGAUUAGUCUGAUGUGAAAGCCCUGGGCUCAACCCAGGAAGUGCAUUGGAUACUGCCUGGCUUGAGGGUUGGAGGGGGGACUGGAAUUCUCGGUGUAGCAGUGAAGUGCGUAGAUAUCGAGAGGAACACCAGUGGCGAAGGCGAGUCCCUGGACUGAUACUGACACUGAGGUGCGAAAGCGUGGGGAGCAAACAGG
rnacentral:rRNA from 1 species